AGAGUUUGAUCCUGGCUCAGGACGAACGCUGGCGGCGUGCUUAACACAUGCAAGUCGAACGGUGAUCCACUUCGGUGGUGAUCAGUGGCGAACGGGUGAGUAACACGUGGGCAACCUGCCCCUAGCUCUGGGAUAACCCCGGGAAACCGGGGCUAAUACCGGAUACGACCUCGAGCGGCAUCACUCGAGGUGGAAAGGAU
rnacentral:rRNA from 1 species